UGUAGGGUUAAUUGUACAAGGUAAAAUUUUCUCAUUCAAGAUCACGCUUUAUCACCUCACCGUCCCUCCUCAUUCUCCGCCAAGUCAGAAGUCGCCUCCGGCCGCGGUGGAGGUCGUAACAUCACUUGAAUUACAUCAAUAGAACCAGUUCUUCACCCUCAAACCAAAUAAGUCAUUUUCCAAAUAUUAAAUGCAAAGGAGAGGGAAUUGGAGCCAAUGUGAUUAAGGCUUUAAUUCCAAAAGCUAGGAACUACAUUACGCAAUGAAAUGCAAAGUUAAUGCUGAAAUCGACGAACCUGUGCACGAAAUCUCUGAUGGAGCUAAUAGAAAGAAAAUACCAGAGGCAACACAACAGGGCUGACUUACACUUCAAGGUUUGAUCAUGACUCAAGACACCUAAGAUGAAACCACCAUGAAAGUUAAGAUGAUGACUUUGAAAAGAAAGCAUGGCUUACUUGCCCAUGAAGUAAACUUGAACUUUGAGCCAAAAUAGAAGAUGGAACAAAGAAUAAUCAAAAUAAAAUAGGGUUAGGUUUUAGAAAUUAGGUGAGUUGUCUUUGGUCAAAGUUUACCAAAAAGUCAAUUAUUGACCAAAGUCAACCUUUAGUCAAAGUUAUGUUUUUUGUAAUUUUUUGUAUGGAUGAUGUAAAUGAUAUUGGAUGGAUGUAAUGAACCUUUGAGAAUGCCAAUAGUUCUUUGGAUUUAAUGAAAAUGUCUCAUUUUCAAAUUGUGAUUUUACCUCCAAAAAAAAUAUUUAAAACAUGGUUUUGAAUUA